CAUGCAAGUCGAACGGGAGCACAGGAUAGCUUGCUCUGUGGGUGGCGAGUGGCGGACGGGUGAGCAAUACGUCCGAAUCUACCUUGUGGAGGGGGAUAACGUAGGGAAAGUUACCCUAAUACCGCAUACGAACUACGGAUGAAAGCAGGGGACCUUCGGUUCUUGCGUGAUUGGAUGAGCCGAUGUCGGAUUAGCUAGUUGGAGGGGUAAUGGCCCACCAAGGCGACGAUCCGUAGCUGGUCUGAGAGGAUGAUCACCCACACUGGAACUGAGACACGGUCCAGACUCCUGCGGGAGGCAGCAGUGGGGAAUAUUGGACAAUGGGCGCAAGCCUGAUCCAGCCUUGCCGCGUGGGUGAAGAAGGCCUUCGGGUUGUAUAGUUCUUUUAUCGGGAAAGAAAAGCAGCAGACCAAUACCCGGUUGUACUGACGGUACCCAAAGAAUAAGCACCGGCUAACUUCGUGCCAGCAGCCGCGGUAAUACGAAGGGUGCAAGCGUUACUCGGAAUUACUGGGCGUAAAGCGUGCGUAUGUGGUGGUUUAAGACGGAUGUGAAAACCCUGGGCUCAACCUGGGAACUGCAGUGGAUACUGGAUCACUAGAGUGAGGCAGAGGGUAGUGGAAUUCCCGGUGUAGCAGUGAAAUGCGUAUAGAUCGGGAGGAACAUCAGUGGCGAACGCCACUGCCUGGGCCAACACUGACACUCAGGACGAAUGCGUGGCGAGCAAACA
rnacentral:rRNA from 1 species